AGGACGAACGCUGGCGGCGUGCUUAACACAUGCAAGUCGAACGGAAAGGCCCGCUUGCGGGUACUCGAGUGGCGAACGGGUGAGUAACACGUGGGCAACCUGCCCCUAGCUCUGGGAUAACACUUGGAAACAGGUGCUAAUACCGGAUGACAACCCUUCACGGCAUCGUGAUUGGUUCAAAGUUUUUCGGCUAGGGAUGGGCCCGCGGCCUAUCAGCUUGUUGGUGGGGUAAUGGCCUACCAAGGCGACGACGGGUA
rnacentral:rRNA from 1 species